rnacentral:rRNA from 1 species
AGGCCCCCCCCCCCCCCCCCCCGCGCGGCGGGCGGGGCGGGGGCACGGGGGGCCUACGGGAGGCAGCAGUGGGGAAUAUUGCACAAUGGGGGAAACCCUGAUGCAGCCAUGCCGCGUGUGUGAAGAAGGCCUUCGGGUUGUAAAGCACUUUCAGUAGGGAGGAAAGGUAGCAGUUU